rnacentral:misc_RNA from 1 species
UAGACUAUUUAAUGAUUCAAUGAUUCCAUUGGAAAGGGAAAUGCAGAAGAAAACAAUUACGUGGUUGCUGAAACACGUUUAACACGCCAUAAUAAUUUUGUGUUAUGAGUGCCUGUUCGCAUUUCAAGAUCUCAAUUAAUUUUAACUACUUGUGUUGGACUUCUGAUACUUUGCUACACGGAAUCUUAUGGAGAUGGGAAUGCAGGGACUCUAUAAAUACGUACCCAGUAAGCAUCGAUCCCUCCACCAUGGCUACCUUAUCAAAUUAAUUAUUAUCCCUUUGCUUGCAUUUGCCCUAACCCAUUUAUAUCAAUCAUGUUUUCUUAUAUAGUCUUGGCAGCUAGCUUCUUAAAAUGGGCAUGGAAUUUCUUGCUCCACUAUUCUUUCUUCUCCAGUCACCCUAGCCUGGACCUGCCUGAAACUCUGCAAGAACUGAGCCUGUGUUACUACGAUGAGCGCAACCCUCCGGGGCAAAACGACUCUUUGGAGGAAUGUGCUGUGUGUCUUUCCAGGUUUCAACAUGGAGAAGAGAUUAGAGAAUUGAGAUGCAACCAUGUCUUUCACAGAGCUUGCUUGGACUCCUGGCUCCUUUGCAAAUGUGCAAGGUGUCCCCUUUGCCGCGAUUUCAUUGCCCCGCGUAGGACUGUCACAGAGCCUGGACCGGAAGUAUUCGUGUUUAAGUAUUCUUCUUCUUUCUGUUCUAAUGACGACCGUCAGACAUGGUGGCUAAGAUGAAUAUGAAUUUCCAAAUAUAAUAAUUAAUGCAUGUCUCAGUGAUCUAAGCGCCUUAUCUUUGGAGUUGAAAGGUAGGGUGGGCGUCGAUCGCAAUCUGUCUGCCACAAAUAAAGAACAUUUAUAAUUUUUUUUUUAUUAAGUGUGUAGAAUAUUAGAGGAAAUUAUAAAAACGAAAAAAAUAUAUAGUUUUAAAUUUUUUGUAAUUAUAUUUCAUAUUAAAAAAUUACUAAUUAUCUUUUUGAACUCUU